rnacentral:misc_RNA from 1 species
AAAAAAUCAUAAAUUUCCUUUUUCUAAUAAAGAAUCUUACCUUUGGCUGCAGGUAUGGUGCCACUUAGUCGACAAUAGGACAAUAAUAAAGUCUUAAGUGAGGGUAACUUUUCCAUGUCUUUUAAGAAGUUGUCGGGGAGAGCAGAUGCUCUCAAAUCCAAGUACUCCAAAAAUUUGAAAUUCGGCAGUCCUUGAGGUAAGCUAGCAUUGAGGGCAAACAUAGACAAGAGUUUUAGAGAAGGCAAUGCUCCAAGGCUCUUAAAAGACUCUUCAUCAAAUGAGGAAUAAUCCAAGUACAACUCUUGCACGCUUGUCAAAUUACCCGUUCCUUGAGCAAAUAUUGCUCCUUUGA